rnacentral:rRNA from 1 species
AGGAUUCCCCUAGUAACGGCGAGUGAAGUGGGAAAAGCUCAACUUUAAAAUCUGGCAGCUUCGCUGUCCGAGUUGUAGUCUCGAGAAGUGUUUUCCGCGCUGGAUCGUGUAUGAGUCUGUUGGAAUACAGCGUCAUAGAGGGUGAGAACCCCGUUCAUGACACGACUACCAGUGCUUUGUGAUACACUUUCGAUGAGUCGAGUUGUUUGGGAAUGCAGCUCAAAAUGGGUGGUAAAUUCCAUCUAAAGCUAAAUAUUGGCGAGAGACCGAUAGCAAACAAGUACCGUGAGGGAAAGAUGAAAAGCACUUUGGAAAGAGAGUUAACAGUACGUGAAAUUGUCGAAAGGGAAACGCUUGAAGUCAGACGUGCGCGGUGCGAUUCAGCCUUGGUUCGCCAGGGUGUACUUCGUACCAUUGCAGGCCAGCAUCGGUUUUGUGAGCCGGAUAAAGGUUAGAGGAAGGUAGCGGUCCAGGCCGUGUUAUAGCCUCUAACUGAAUACGGAUUGUGAGACCGAGGGACGCAGCGCGCCGCAAGGCAAAGGGUCCGCCCUUUUCGCGCUUAGGAUGCUGGUGAAAUGGCUUUAAA